rnacentral:rRNA from 1 species
GAGUGGGCCGGCCUWAAAMRUGSRGUCGUAUSAUYGCYGUGGUGGGCYGKUGCUUGCAUCUYGAGYUACWUCGCCGCGAGUGGCGAACUGGUGAKUGCCACGGGSGAAAUCUGCCCWSGGRCGGGGCGGWMCACGUGGWAACGSGUGCUWAGACUGCGUAACAACUUGKACCGCMUGGCCCSAGUUUGGAAGAUGGMUGCGGCUAUCACUUGUGGAUGGYCCCSCSGCGUGUUARCUAKAUGGYGRGGUAACGGCUCACCAUGAGUWUGAUACRYWKGCGACCUGAGGGGUAAUGSGCCACUUUGGGACUGAGACACRGCCCAAACUCCUACGGGAGGCAGCAGUAGGGAAUCUUCCACAAUGGACGAAAGUCUGAUGGAGCAACGCCGCGUGAGUGAAGAAGGGUUUCGGCUCGUAAAACUCUGUUGUUAAAGAAGAACAUAUCUGAGAGUAACUGUUCAGGUAUUGACGGUAUUUAACCAGAAAGCCACGGCUAACUACGUGCCAGCAGCCGCGGUAAUACGUAGGUGGCAAGCGUUGUCCGGAUUUAUUGGGCGUAAAGCGAGCGCAGGCGGUUUUUUAAGUCUGAUGUGAAAGCCUUCGGCUCAACCGAAGAAGUGCAUCGGAAACUGGGAAACUUGAGUGCAGAAGAGGACAGUGGAACUCCAUGUGUAGCGGUGAAAUGCGUAGAUAUAUGGAAGAACACCAGUGGCGAAGGCGGCUGUCUGGUCUGUAACUGACGCUGAGGCUCGAAAGUAUGGGUAGCAAACAGGAUUAGAUACCCUGGUAGUCCAUACCGUAAACGAUGAAUGCUAAGUGUUGGAGGGUUUCCGCCCUUCAGUGCUGCAGCUAACGCAUUAAGCAUUCCGCCUGGGGAGUACGGCCGCAAGGCUGAAACUCAAAGGAAUUGACGGGGGGCCCGCACAAGCGGUGGGAGCAUGUGGUUUAAUUCGAAGCUACGCGAAGAACCUUACCAGGGUCUUGACAUACUAUGCAAAUCUAGAGAUUAGACGUUCCCUUCGGGGAMAUGGAUACAGGUGGUGCAUGGGAUGUCGUCAGCUCGUGUCGUGAGAUGCUGGGAUAGUCCCGCAAACGGARGCGSCMMAAUC